CGAGGACUCUAUAGCAAGCUUCCGUUUUUUAGGAGUCAGUGCCUUCGGCUCCGACACUGUUUUCAUCUUCUUCAAAGUUUCUUGGUCUUCUUUGACAGACCGGGCAGCUUGCCUACUCAGAAUGUUGACAACCGUUUUUCUUUUUGCUCUCCUGCCCCCUUCGUCAAGUCUGUCGUAAUCUGGGUAUUCAAAUUCAGGGCAUCCAUCAUUCGAUUCAACCUUCGUUUCGGCCGGAUGCCGAAGGCAGCAGCCAUUAACUGAUCUUCUUUCUUUGUAUAAUUUCCGAGGAUUUCAUGGCACAUGGUUUCUAUCAUUUCUAACCAUUCAGAACAUGGUUUUUUGAAUUGCUUUUCAAAUUUGAAACGGUAGGGAAGUCAAACAAGUUCAUAUUUUUCCCUCCUUCCUUCUUCUUUGGCAUCCCCCAACCGCUAGAGGUCGAAAAAGUUUAGUUUGCCACAUAUUCCUGCACUAAGUCCCUGGUGCUAAUAUGACUGGCUACCACCCUGAAUUCUACUCUUACCCUAGCUUCAGAGAGCCCAUAUGUAGACACUGAGCCUAAAAUGGCAUUCGGUGUUAGCUGAUGGAGAUAUAUUUCAAAACUUUUCAAAACUAUUCCCAUCAUAUCAUACAGGGGAAAUCGCAACCCUGCCCUGAAGAAGCUCCUAAACAC
rnacentral:lncRNA from 1 species